rnacentral:lncRNA from 1 species
CAUAUAUCAGUAUGUAUCAGAUUUAGAACUUCACUGGUUCGCUCAUCUUUUUCAGUAAAAGGUGAUUUGGUCAUUUUUUCAAGAAGAUAGGACUCACUGGUUGAAAGUGAUUCACAAUCACUGACUUUGAAGAUUUUCUCUUAUGUCAAUUUGCUUAUUCUGUUCUUAUUAACAUGGCCUAACCUACAAUGUCAAAGGUAG